rnacentral:rRNA from 1 species
UGGGGAAUUUUCCGCAAUGGGCGAAAGCCUGACGGAGCAAUACCGCGUGAGGGAGGAAGGCUCUUGGGUUGUAAACCUCUUUUCUCAAGGAAGAAGAAAGUGACGGUACUUGAGGAAUCAGCAUCGGCUAACUCCGUGCCAGCAGCCGCGGUAAUACGGAGGAUGCAAGCGUUAUCCGGAAUCAUUGGGCGUAAAGCGUCCGCAGGUGGCAGCUCAAGUCUGCUGUCAAAGACAGAAGCUCAACUUCUGAGCGGCAGUGGAAACUGAGAAGCUAGAGUACGGUAGGGGCAGAGGGAAUUUCCAGUGUAGCGGUGAAAUGCGUAGAGAUUGGAAAGAACACCAGUGGCGAAAGCGCUCUGCUGGGCCUGUACUGACACUGAGGGACGAAAGCUAGGGGAGC